rnacentral:piRNA from 1 species
UAUUUGCAUUAAAAAAAAACC